UACGAAGGGGGGCUAGCGUUGCUCGGAAUCACUGGGCGUAAAGCGCACGUAGGCGGACUCUUAAGUCGGUGGUGAAAUCCUGGAGCUCAACUCCAGAACUGCCUUCGAUACUGAGAGUCUCGAGUCCGGGAGAGGUGAGUGGAACUGCGAGUGUAGAGGUGAAAUUCGUAGAUAUUCGCAAGAACACCAGUGGCGAAGGCGGCUCACUGGCCCGGUACUGACGCUGAGGUGCGAAAGCGUGGGGAGCGAACAGG
rnacentral:rRNA from 1 species